ACAGACAUGUAUAACAGUAAAAGAAAUGUACCUUCUUGGCCAUUUCUUUUCUCUGUUAUUGUGUCAGAUGUUUCUGAUUUGAAUAAGAGCUUUCCUUCAUGUCCCUGAGCUUCUCCUUCCAUUUGACUUUACACUGAAGUCAUAAACCUGUUGUCAUGGGAACCACUGUGACAUCACAGAUGUAGCAUUAACUUCACCACAGGGCAAAAUAAAUGAGUGUGAUGGCCUGUGAGGAGAGAGAACCUUUGUUUGAACCAAAAGCCAAGCUUAUCCGAGUCUUGGCCCGGAGCCCGGGACCCCAAGAGGCUUCAGUGGGAUCCCGGCCCUGUGCUGGAGGCACAGAACAAACACCGCCUUGUAGCCGAGACCCUCUCUUGGAGCUGGUGGUCUCUGCAGACAGGACAUGACACAGAAGAAAGGAAGCAUUAUCAGCUGGGCUUCAAGAUUGGAAAACUAAGGAAAGGAGAGAGGCGUGGUGAUAUUCCUUGUCAGCCAGAAGAGCAGUGCCAGCAUGAGCAGCCACCUACCAGUGCUGGAACUAGCAAAGGGUUGUAUUUUCCCCACUCCUUAUAUGACCUGCAAAACUGUGUGAAAGAUCAGCAUAAAGAAGUACUUAACCAGUUCAAAGUGAAAAUCUGUUUUGAUUGUGUUGGCUUUUGGGACAUGUAGCUUUUUUUUCCUGGAAAGCUGGGCUGAUUAUACACCCACAGCUCUGUAGCCAGCCCUUCAGACCAAGCAUUUUUUUUAUGUGCCUGUCUCUGAGAGCCCCCAAACUGUGUUAAUUUUAUUACUAAAGUUAAACAGAUACAUCUCAAUUUAUGGGGUUUUGCAGUCAGUUCCUAUGGAAGCAUCUGUGUGGAUUGGCCAUAAAUGAGAACAUUGCCAGUUGGAUGGAGGAAAGGAGAGUGUGGAAAUGUUUCUGCUGGGUAAAGAGCAGUUCUUCUUUGCUCAGUUUCCCUUCCUAGUCUUUACAGAGGAACUAGAGGAGUCUCUGUAUUUUAUCAUUAGUGUGUACAAGGGAAAAGGAUUCUCUGGAAGUUGAAUGCUUUUUCUAAAAAGCUUUUAUGACUUGGAGCAUCCAAUGCCAAUAUUUGUGAGAACCAAAUCAUGGUGAAGGACAAAACAAAGACCUUUCAAAAGCUGGAAACUCAUUUCUUGUAUGCUACUGGCUGUGCCAGCAUAUGUGAUGGCCAUGAUGUCCAGCCCAGAGAUUAUUUUUCUUGUAGGAAAAUCCAUGUAUUUCUAUAGUAACCAUUGCUGUGCUGUCUAAAAGUACUUUAACAUGUAGGACUGUGCAGUUCUAGCAGCUGGUAGCAGACAGUUGUCUUGUAGAGCUUGGAUUUGCAUGCAGCCACAAGAAAGCCACUUUUAUUUUUGUUUGCCAUUUUCUGAAAUGGAAGCAGGUAUUGCAUUCCCAACUUCUUGCUGGUGCCACAGAUUUAUCUUGGUUCAUCCCGGGGUUAUAAAGCCCCACCUUGAAGUCUGGCCUGUGGCCAGUGCUAGAGGGGAGCUGUGGAGCAAACCUCAAGAGCCUUCUUGAGGUGUUUGUUUUUCUUUGCAGGCAGAGGGGCAAAGAAAUAAAUAGAUGGGAACCCAAAAGGACGUGUUGAAGGCUGGUUUGGGGCACCAAAAAUUUCCUGAUGGCUCAAAGGCAGCGAUUUUUGAAAUACAGAUGCUGAGAGGAAAUCAUGGAGCUUUAGUCUCGUGCAGAAAGGUGAUCUGGUAGAAGACACUUCCAGGAAACAGAGAGAAAACUGAAGAGCAUUUAAAAAAGCCAUAUGUGAGCCUUAGAUUUCAGGAAGAAACCUUAGGUCCUGUGAAUAAGCCUGGCUAACUUUGACUGUUUUGCUAAAUAAUGGAACUAAACAGAGGGACUAAAAUUGUUCUCAGGCUUUUGGAUUGACAUCUAAUUUUGAAGACUAGUUUGGCCUUGUCUUGUUUUAUAAGCAAAAGGGUGGCUGUUAUCACAUUCAAAUUCCGUUUUUAAGAAACAUGAGAUAACUCAAUUUCUCUCCUUUCCAUUUGCUUUUUUAGCAAAACAAGUUUCAUAUGGCUCCUGUAAUGAAUGAGCUGGAGUGAAUCAGUAAAGGUGGCUGUGUUUUGACUGCUGCAAACUGUGUAUUGACACUCUGCACUGUGUAGAGCUGGGUCAGUUUGGCUUUAAAGACUCUUGGGCGUUUUCAAGUUCAGGGAUGGGUGUCUGUUGCUCCUGAAGCAAUUACCUGUGCAGGCAUGGGAAACCCUUCUUCUUGGAAGUCAGAUUAUCAUUUCAGCCUUCCCAUGAAGAGAAAGCCUUUGUUGCAUAUUCUCAGAGCCGAGAUGGAGACGAUCAGCUAAAGGUAUGCUUAGACCAACGCCCUGAACUCCACAGAGACACCAUCCCAAAUUAAUUCUCCAGGUUGCAGCUGCAUGAUCUUGCUAAAGAAGUGAGUAAUAUUUUGACAUUUAAUAUUAAAUGAGUUAUCUUUGAAAAAUGCUUCCCUGCCCCUGGUGUACCUCAGGCAAAUGGAAACAUGCUUAACGUGCAUAAUGAAACCUUGGUAAUGGAAAAAAUGGGGAACUGGGAUGAUCUAUCAGCAUCCAGAAUCUGCAGGACACAAAAACUGAUGGUUAAAUGAUGGUGAGGUUAAGACAUAAACUAAUCAAACUGAUUGCAUUUAAUUGGGGCCCCCUUAACAAUACAGCUGUAAUUAUUCUUAAUCCCCUGCAAGUGUAUAAAAAGAUUUGUGGCAAAUGUUUGAUUUUUUUCAGCGUUGGAAAUUAGUUUAUGAGAUUUUCAGUGGCACUGAGCACAUUGGAUUUUUCAGC